rnacentral:ncRNA from 1 species
CUUAUCCAGAGUGGUUGAGGGACGGGCCCGAUGAAACCCGGCAACCGGCGCUUGCGACCGGUGCCAAUUCCCGCGGCGGGGCGUUCUGUCGCUUUGCCGGAAGAUGAG